AUUUCAAGAAUGUAAAAUAUGCUUUGCAUCAAAAUCCGUCUCUCAACUUGGCUAUUGAUUUUGUGAGUAUUAUCAAGCCGGAGACAUCAAGGAAUUUUUCAAAUGUCAACCGAGAACCGAAGAUUUAUAAAUGUUUAACGUGGAGACUGGUCUUUUCCUCGCUACGAUUGACUUUGAUUGAAUUUCGAAUCAAAUUUGUAAAUACAGAGAAAAAAAAACCUUCGGACCGGUUGGGCGGGUAGAUGGGAAUCGUUGCCUAAUGCGUAUAUGUCAUAUUAAUUAUCAUAUAAUAAAAUGGGUAGUAGCCGGUUUCGGAAGUCCCUGCUCGCCGAGAUAAAAAGGCCAUACAAUGAAUUAUAAGCCACUAUCAAUUGACAUAUCUCGGUCGGACGCACUUGGCGCUCGCUCCAGUUCCACGGUUCCUCGUAAACACAUCGUAGAAGAAUGGAAGGAAGCCAGCAACGCGUAUAAAUGAAAAACAAACGAUCGGAGCGGAGGAGAAAAAUGAACGUCCAGCUCCGCAGACGAAAAAACACAGCGAACUUAUCGGAACAUAAUUUUUCUUUCUCGUUGGGCACGAGCAACAGACACAAGACCUUCAGAAACGACUUUCAGUUAAUAAACACUUCGGUGCUGGUGCCGGACGAUCGCGCUCAUCGCUGUGGGGGCCGGCUUAUUAUACUUUACAACAUCGUAAACGUAAAAUGGACGCCAGCAAAGAAGGGCGAGCCACUCCACCUCGAUGCUUCAUUCCUUGGGUGGGAAAUAAUAAGUAGCUGUCGUGUGCGAUUGCACCCUCUCCUGGCCAUUGUCACGCCAUCAUGUUGUUCGUCUCCACCACACGCACGCCCGAUGACAAACCCCACGAAUUAUCUGCGCUCAUUACAGCGCCGCAGCGCCGAAAUUGAGUAAUGAGUAUAUUAAUGGCGGCACAGACGGUGCACAACGAACAGUAAACAGCCAACAGUCGGCAGUCGUCAUUCCAGACAAUAGCAGAUGAUGCACACGACAUGCAGGCGUGUUCAAAAGAGAAUUCUGUCGAUAUAAACAAAAUGUUUACAUGCGACGGCGUGGUGCUUGUGUGGAAAAGCAAAUAUUAUAUUAGCGCACACCGCGCACGAAUCUUCGUGUAAUUGGCGCAUUAUUCACGAUACGAAUGAAAUGAAACCGGCAAUUAUCCAUUAUUUAUUUUAAUUAAAGUCUGGACGCGUCUGUGCAGUCGCCGCUCGCCGUUAAGCCGUGCCACCGCCACCAAGGGGGAUUGCGGCCGCUGUGGUGCGGUUCGUUUCGGUGCCGCCACGCUCAUUGGGUGAAAUGUUGCUUAAUUGCUUAUGGAAUAUGAAUUAUAAGUCUAGACGUUGCACAGCUCGAUAUAAAAAGUGGAGUGGUCAUGUGAAUAAAACACAAGAGAUAAAAAAGAAAUUCAUACCCUAGUGUGUAGGUAUCUAUAUUAC